rnacentral:rRNA from 1 species
GUGCCAGCAGCCGCGGUAAUACGUAGGUGGCAAGCGUUGUCCGGAUUUAUUGGGCGUAAAGCGAGCGCAGGCGGUUUCUUAAGUCUGAUGUGAAAGCCUUCGGCUCAACCGAAGAAGUGCAUCGGAAACUGGGAAACUUGAGUGCAGAAGAGGACAGUGGAACUCCAUGUGUAGCGGUGAAAUGCGUAGAUAUAUGGAAGAACACCAGUGGCGAAGGCGGCUGUCUGGUCUGUAACUGACGCUGAGGCUCGAAAGCAUGGGUAGCAAACAGGAUUAGAUACCCUGGUAGUCCAUGCCGUAAACGAUGAGUGCUAGGUGUUGGAGGGUUUCCGCCCUUCAGUGCCGCAGCUAACGCAUUAAGCACUCCGCCUGGGGAGUACGACCGCAAGGUUGAAACUCAAAGGAAUUGGCGGGGGCCCGCACAAGCGGUGGAGCAUGUGGUUUAAUUCGAAGCAACGCGAAGAACCUUACCAGGUCUUGACAUCCUUUGACCACUCUAGAGAUAGAGCUUUCCCUUCGGGGACAAAGUGACAGGUGGUGCAUGGUUGUCGUCAGCUCGUGUCGUGAGAUGUUGGGUUAAGUCCCGCAACGAGCGCAACCCUUAUUACUAGUUGCCAGCAUUAAGUUGGGCACUCUAGUGAGACUGCCGGUGACAAACCGGAGGAAGGUGGGGACGACGUCAAAUCAUCAUGCCCCUUAUGACCUGGGCUACACACGUGCUACAAUGGAUGGUACAACGAGUUGCGAGACCGCGAGGUUUAGCUAAUCUCUUAAAACCAUUCUCAGUUCGGAUUGUAGGCUGCAACUCGCCUACAUGAAGCCGGAAUCGCUAGUAAUCGCGGAUCAGCAUGCCGCGGUGAAUACGUUCCCGGGCCUUGUACACACCGCCCGU